GUCUAGUGAAAGUAAAAAGAAGAAAAACAGAGCUAAGCCAAGGAAAUGAUUUCUUUCCCACCUACAAUGCAUGAAAAGAAAUUAACAUGAAAAGGGUCUGAGGAAGACAUUAAUAUUUUGAUAGUGGCAGAAGAAUGUUAUUUACAAAAAUAAUGACAAAUGUUGAAGAGAAAAUACAGGCUUCCUAGCAACUAGACCAAAGAUAAGAACUUGAUCAUAAGAACCCAUCACUGAGAACAUCAUCUAUUUUGCCCAUAAGACUUGGAGAACUGAAGCAGGAACUAAGAUGGAGAUGUCCUCACCACUAACUAGCCCCUGCAGUGUUUGGAAGAUGCUAUUCACGCUGCUAGAUGAGAGAGAACAUGAACAGCCUUAUCCGGCUAUGAACUGUAGACUAGGCCCAGACAGAAGGAUAUGCCACAGCAGGAGACAGGAUCCAGAAUGAGAAUAGACAAAAGACAUUUUCAAAAGUCCAGGUUCACAGCUUGACAGAAGCCUUCACACAGAAAGAGCCAUUGCACAUUGGACAGAUGAUCCCAGAAUGGAAGUUUCCAGAGGAAAUAACAGUCAAUAAACAGGAGUCACGGCGGGAAGUACAGCAUCACGCAGACAGACUGGUUGCUGGAGAAGCCAAGAAUUCGACAUCUUGAUCCAAAGGCAGCCAU
rnacentral:lncRNA from 1 species